AGUGUACUUUCUCCGUCCCAAAAUUCUUGUCUUAGAUUUAUCUAAAUACGGAUGUAUCAAGUCACGUUUUAGUAUUAGAUACAUCCGUAUUUAGACUAAUCUAAGACAAGCAUUUUGGGUCGGAGGGAGUAUUUG
rfam:Triticum aestivum genome assembly, contig: Triticum_aestivum_CS42_TGACv1_scaffold_604833_7DL